UACAGAGGGUGCGAGCGUUGUCCGGAAUCACUGGGCGUAAAGGGCGCGUAGGCGGCUCGGUAAGCGUGCGGUGAAAGCCCGGGGCUCAACCCCGGGUCGGCCGUGCGAACUGCAGAGCUGGAGCACUGUAGAGGCAGGUGGAAUUCCGGGUGUAGCGGCGAAAUGCGUAGAUAUCAGAAGGAACGCCGGCGGCGAAAGCGGCGCACUGGACCUCUUCUGACGCUGAGGCGCGAAAGCCAGGGGAGCAAACGGG
rnacentral:rRNA from 1 species